GAGCAUAGGUCAUCUUAUCUUAGUGACCUCGCAGGUCACCUCAUGAUUUACUGGUCCCUUCAAGUUAGCCUCAGCAUUCUUCGAAAAUAUCUACUUGUUUUCCUAAGCAGGGUUUGAAACGUGGUGCUAUUAAUUUAGCU